AAGUCGAGCGGAUGAGAAGAGCUUGCUCUUCGAUUCAGCGGCGGACGGGUGAGUAAUACCUAGGAAUCUGCCUGGUAGUGGGGGACAACGUUUCGAAAGGAACGCUAAUACCGCAUACGUCCUACGGGAGAAAGCAGGGGACCUUCGGGCCUUGCGCUAUCAGAUGAGCCUAGGUCGGAUUAGCUAGUUGGUGAGGUAAUGGCUCACCAAGGCUACGAUCCGUAACUGGUCUGAGAGGAUGAUCAGUCACACUGGAACUGAGACACGGUCCAGACUCCUACGGGAGGCAGCAGUGGGGAAUAUUGGACAAUGGGCGAAAGCCUGAUCCAGCCAUGCCGCGUGUGUGAAGAAGGUCUUCGGAUUGUAAAGCACUUUAAGUUGGGAGGAAGGGCAGUAAGCGAAUACCUUGCUGUUUUGACGUUACCGACAGAAUAAGCACCGGCUAACUCUGUGCCAGCAGCCGCGGUAAUACAGAGGGUGCAAGCGUUAAUCGGAAUUACUGGGCGUAAAGCGCGCGUAGGUGGUUCGUUAAGUUGGAUGUGAAAUCCCCGGGCUCAACCUGGGAACUGCAUCCAAAACUGGCGAGCUAGAGUAGGGCAGAGGGUGGUGGAAUUUCCUGUGUAGCGGUGAAAUGCGUAGAUAUAGGAAGGAACACCAGUGGCGAAGGCGACCACCUGGGCUCAUACUGACACUGAGGUGCGAGAGCGUGGGGAGCAAACAGGAUUAGAUACCCUGGUAGUCCACGCCGUACACGAUGUCAACUAGCCGUUGGAAUCCUUGAGAUUUUAGUGGCGCAGCUAACGCAUUAAGUUGACCGCCUGGGGAGUACGGCCGCAAGGUUAAAACUCAAAUGAAUUGACGGGGGCCCGCACAAGCGGUGGAGCAUGUGGGUUAAUUCGAAGCAUCGCGAAGAACCUUACCAGGCCUUGACAUCCGAUGAACUUUCCAGAUAUGGAUUGGUGCCUUCGGGAACAUUGAAACAGGUGCUGCAUGGCUGUCGUCACCC
rnacentral:rRNA from 1 species